rnacentral:rRNA from 1 species
GUGCCAGCAGCCGCGGUAAUACGGAAGAUGCGAGCGUUAUCCGGAUUUAUUGGGUUUAAAGGGAGCGUAGGCGGACGCUUAAGUCUGCGGUAAAAUGUCGAUGCCCAACAUCGUCUUGCCGUGGAAACUGGGUGUCUUGAAUGUGCACAGGGAAGGUGGAAUUCGUGGUGUAGCGGUGAAAUGCUUAGAUAUCACGAAGAACUCCGAUCGCGAAGGCAUCCUUCUGGGGCACGAUUGACGCUGAGGCUCGAAAGCGCGGGUAUCAAACAGGAUUAGAUACCCUGGUAGUCCGCGCCGUAAACGAUGAAUACCCGCCGUCGGCGAUACACAGUCGGCGGCCAAGCGAAAGCAUUAAGUAUUCCACCUGGGGAGUACGCCGGCAACGGUGAAACUCAAAGGAAUUGACGGGGGCCCGCACAAGCGGAGGAACAUGUGGUUUAAUUCGAUGAUACGCGAGGAACCUUACCCGGGCUUGAACUGCACAGGACGGAAGAGAGAGACCUCUUCCUUCUUCGGACCUGUGUGGAGGUGCUGCAUGGUUGUCGUCAGCUCGUGCCGUGAGGUGUCGGCUUAAGUGCCAUAACGAGCGCAACCCCUUCCGGUAGUUGCCAUCAGGUGACGCUGGGCACUCUGCCGGAACUGCCAUCGCAAGAUGUGAGGAAGGUGGGGAUGACGUCAAAUCAGCACGGCCCUUACGUCCGGGGCUACACACGUGUUACAAUGGGGGGCACAGAGAGUUGCUGCGCGGCGACGUGUGGCGGAUCUUCAAAAUCCCCUCUCAGUUCGGACUGGAGUCUGCAACCCGACUCCACGAAGCUGGAUUCGCUAGUAAUCGCGCAUCAGCCAUGGCGCGGUGAAUACGUUCCCGGGCCUUGUACACACCGCCCGU